AUACGGAGGGUGCGAGCGUUAAUCGGAAUUACUGGGCGUAAAGCGUACGUAGGCGGUUUGCUAAGUCAGAUGUGAAAGCCCCGGGCUUAACCUGGGAACUGCAUUUGAUACUGGCAGACUAGAGUAUGAUAGAGGGGGGUAGAAUUCCUGGUGUAGCGGUGAAAUGCGUAGAUAUCAGGAGGAAUACCAGUGGCGAAGGCGGCCCCCUGGAUCAAUACUGACGCUGAGGUACGAAAGCGUGGGGAGCGAGCAGGAUUAGAAACCCCAGUAGUCC
rnacentral:rRNA from 1 species